UGUAGUUUUCAAUUUUAUAUUUAAAUGUAUGAUUACUCUUGACUAAAAUUUUGCAUAUGCGUCACAUAUGGAUUGUUUAGUACUGCUAGUUUCCUUAAGUAAUGCCUUAGUGACAUUUCACAAAUAUUGAUAUGUUGUAUUUUAAUUUUCAUUUCAUUCAACAUCUUUGUUAUUUCCCCUUUGAGUUUUUCUUUGACCCAUAGGUUUAGAAGCAUUUGAUAUCCAAAUGUUGGGCUUUUCCAGAUAUCCUGCAGUUACCAUUUUCUAAUAUCAUUCCAUUGUGGUCAGAAAGCAUACUUUUAAUGCCUUGGAUCUCUUUAAAUUUAUUGAGAGUUGAUUUGUGGUCUAGAAUGUGGUCUUUCUUGGUAAACGUUCUGUGUGCACAUGAGAAGAAAGUGUAUUCUGCUGUUGUUCAUUGAAGUUUUUUAUAAAUGUCAGGUUACAUAUGUUGAUAGUGUUACCCAACUCUAAUGUAUCCUUGAUUUUCUAUUUAUUCUCUUAGUUAUUAACAAAGAAGUAUAGCUUAUCUCUGAGAAUAAUUAUGGAUUUGCUUAUUUCACCUUGGUAUUUAUCAGUUUCGAUGUAUUUUUGAAUCUCUCUCAAUAGGUACAUAAAUGUUUCUAGUGUAUGUCCUCAUGGUAAAAUGACUGUUUUAUGACCAAGAAAUUAUCUUUAUCCUUGGUAAUAUUUUUGACUUGAAAUCUACUUUGUCAGAUAUUCAUAUAGUCACUCUAGCAUUCUUUUGACUAAUGUCAGUAUGGUAUGUGGUUGGUUUUUUUUUCCCUUCUUUUCCUUUAAAACUAUUUGUUUCUUGGGGCACCUGGGUGGGUCAGUCGGUUAAGUAUCUGACUUCAGCUCAGGUCAUGAUCUUGCAGUUUGUGAGUUCAAGCCCCACGUUGGGCUCUUUGCUGACAGCUCAGAGCCUGGGACCUGCGUCAGAUUCGUUGUCUCCCUCUCUCUCUCUCUGCCCCUCCUCUGCUUGUGCUCUGUCUCUCCCAAAAAUAAAUAAACAACAAAAAAAAAUUUUUUUUUAAUAUUUGUUUCUUUAUAUUUAAAGUGCAUUUUUGGACAUACAGUAUAGUUGGGCUGGCCUUUUUCUCUAUUCUGAUAAUCUUUGCCUUUUAGUUGAGGGUGUUUAGACCAUUUACAUUUAAUGUGACUAAUGAUCUGGUUAGGUUUAAAUUCACCAUCUUUCUGUUUUCUGUUUGUCUUGUCUGCUUUUUGUUUCCUUCCUCCUGUGCCAUCUUUUGAAUUGAGUAUUUUUAUGGUUCAGUUUUAUCUCUUAGGUUUGUAUAUCAGCUGUAACUCUUUGUUUUAGAGAUUGCUUUAACUUUCUGUAGUCUACCAUGUACUAAUGUUAUACAUGUAGUAUAAUUACCUUAGAAUAUUGUACUUCCAUUUCUCCCCUUUUGGCCUUUGUGCUUUUAUUUUCUUAUAUAAAAUAAGAAUAAGAAUGAUUUUUUUCUUCUAUGUAUGUUGUAAACUAAACACUGCAUAGUAAUUAAUUUUUUUUAAAGUUACCUUUUAAAGAGAUUUAAACAUUUUUUUUUAAAUGUCAUGUGUUUUUUCACAUUGUUACCAUUCUCCCUUCUCUUAUUCUUUUGUUGUACAUCCAGAUUUCCAUAAAAUCUGACCACUAUAUCUGUCUUGGCUGAAAUUAGAAGUCCCAGUGUUUCCACUCUUUGCUUUAAGGAUUUAUGAUUUACAAUAUAAUUGCUGGGCUUCAGUCAGUACUUUUAGAUGCCCUAACUACAUGCUUUUUAGGGUGUUUUUUUUUUCAAUAAUAUUUACAUCACACAUUUAAAGAUAGUUUUCAUUCUUUAAAGAUAGUAUAAAUGAGUUAGACUUAUUCCUAGAUAUACAUAUUCAUCUGCUGCUUUCAGUAUUUCAAUAUUGACGUUUUUUAGUAUCUUGUAGUUAACUCUAAGUUCAGCUAGCUCUUAAUAUUCUAACAUAAGACCAAUGUGUCACUUCACCUUCAAAAUAACAUGCUUGUUAUUUUCCUUUUCCUCUCCCCUUGUCAUAUGCAGAAAAAUAAUCCUAUUUGAAUAAUCCUAAUGAAUGUACUCUUAGUGAUCAUUUAAGUCCUUUUGAUAAGUUGGCAUUUCUAGUAGAAAUUAAUAAUAGUUUAUUAUACAAAGUGCAGUUUUAUAUAUUUAGGAUUCCCCUUAGUAAUUCAGAUGAUUGUAUCUUAAAUGACUUAAAGGCACUUUAGGGCAAUUAGGUGGGUGAAAAUUUCUGUUUACAAAAGAGAUCUAUUUAGGGAAAUAGAACUUAAAAUUUUUGUUUAAAUGGUUUCUUUUAUAGAGUUAUUUUAAAAUAAAUUUUUUCAGGGGGCCUGGGUGACUCAAUUGGUUAAGGUUAAGAUCUCAUGGUGUACAGGAUUGAGCCCCUCGCUGAGCUCUAUGCUGAGAGGACAGAGCCUGCUUGGGAUUCUCUCUCUCCCGCUCUGCCCUUCCCCGACUUGCACACGUUCUCUCUCUUUCAAAAUAAAUAAGUGAAGUUAAAAAAAAUUUUUUUUCAAUAAGCUUUUUCUAAGCUUUGAAUAAAUCCAGGUAAUGAGGAAUCUCUAAUGACUGAGCAAGUAUGUCAAGUCACUAAAAACACCAACAAUCUGUGGGUUCUGGGGAGAGUGGUGGUGUAAAACUAUAGUUCUUUCUGUAAAACUAUAGUUCAUAUAUCUUUCUCGUUGGUAGUGUGUGAAAAAAUCUUCUUUACCCCUGUUGCUGGUAGUCAUUUCCUGUUUUGGGGGAAGGGGAUGGUGAGGGAGAUGCAUUAAAUCAUUAAGAGACGGUUGAGGAGUAAGUUUUGUUGGGACAGCCCGCUCUGGCAGGACAUCAUAAGGAUCUUUGCAGACCCACUUCCCAGUGAAACUGGCAAAAAUUACUUGUUUUGAUAGCAGUCAUUUAAAGUCUGAAAAUGGUCCUAAGGGUCUACAACAAAUGAAGAAAGAAAAUCUGCUAAAACUUGGGAAGAACAGCCCAAGUCUGUGGUAUUUGAACCAAGACUUGCUUCCUCUCUCCCCUUUUCUAACUCAACAAGAUGGAACCUGCACUCCACACUGGUGCAGCCAAGAACACAGGAUUCCCUCUCUCCUCACCACCUAGUUGGAGGGCACCUUCCUGAGAGGAGCAGAUGUCAGGAUUUCUCAUUCUGCCCAGCUACAUGUUGCUGAGGCUACAUGUUCUGGGCAUGUGGGCCUGAGAGGCAGGGGCUUACUUCUGCUAUCCCACUCAUGGCACAGAAACGCUGCUUGUACACAGUGCCACUGAGAAUUACUCAUGUCUCAGCUCUUCAGGUAGCAGUUCCACACUGGGAGAAAGAUGCAAGUUCCCUCCACGCUACCAAGCAUUUUGGUCUCAAAGUUAGGUUGUCAUUCUAUAGUGAGCCACUAUCCCUGCUCUCAGACCCAUGGCUCAGAGAGUUAUACAAUAGAGAGUUCCGCAUCUCUUUCCAAAGUAACUGACUUGAUUUGUAACAAUAUGUGGAAAAUAUCAAGCCUACGGAUAUUCUCAAAAACAGUGGAGGUUGUGAAGGCAAUGAGGAAUAGUUUGGUAGAUGCAUUGGAGGUAAAUAAAGGAUAUUUUGGCUAGCUUGCUGGAGGGAACCAGGGAAAUACUGAGCUUGAAGGAAACCUCCUAGGGUCAGAAUAAAUCGCAAAUGUUGAGCUCCCUCCAAAGGAACUGAGAUUUGUGUGGAGCAGUUUAUGCUUCAGCAUCGUUGAAAACAAUAGAGCAAUGAGCUGACAAGUAGUGCUGCUUAAAAGCUGGGUUUUGUAAGGGAAAGAGACAGGGAGCCCUGCCAAAACUGGUAUCAUUUCAUGGUAACUUUGGGAAUACCCAAGACUGUGCCUCCUGAUGAGGAACACCAGGGGCUUCACACUGAGGAAAGAUGAGGGAAUAGACUUCACUGAAAUGAUUUAAGCAAUGAGUUAAUACAAUAAACAAAUAAAUAACAAUAACAAACCCCAGAGGGAGGCAACCAGUAUCCAGAGUCGGUACAGUACAGAAUCUAAAAUGUCCAGUUUCCAACAGUAUUAGAAGACAUGGAAAGAAACAGGAAAUUAUGACCUCUAUACCAGAAAAAAGGGCAGGCAACAGAGACUGCCAAUUGAGUUGGUCAGAUGUGAGAUUUAACAAAGAUUUCAGAUUAGCUAUUAUAAAUAUAUUUGGAGAACUAAAGAAACCAGGGCUAAAGAAGGGAAAGUAUGAUGACAGUUUCUAUCAAAUAGAGAAUGUCAAUUAAGAGAAAUUAUAAAAAACUAGUUGGAAAUUCUGAGUUUGAAAAGUAUGAAAUGAAAAAUUCACUAGAGGGGCUCAAUGAUAGACUUGAAUUGGCAGAAGAAACAGCAAAUUUGUAGUUAGAUUGAUAGAGAUUAUGCAUUCUGAAGAACAAAAAAGAGUGAAGAAUAAUGAGUGAAGAAUAAUGAACAGAAUCUCAGAGAAAUGUAGGAUACCAUUAACUGUACUAGCAUAUAUGUAAUGGAAAUACCAAGGGAAGGAAAGAGCAUACUUUAAGAAACAGUGGGUGAAACUUCCCAAAUUAAUUGAAAAACAUUCAUUUGCAUAUUUUGGAACCUUAGUGAACUCCAAGUAGGAUAAAUUGCAAGAGAUUCACAGACACCUCAAAAUAAAAAUGCUGAAAGUCAAAGAAAAGGAGAAAAUCUUGAAAGCAGGAAAAGCAACUCAUCACUUACAAGGGAACCCCCAGUAAAAUUAAUAGUUAAUUUCUUAUCAGACAGAGGGCAUAAUACAGUGGGAUAAACACAAUCAGAAGUGCUGAAAGAGAAAAAAUUGCCAACCUGGGUGCCUGGGUGGCUCAGUCUGACUUUGGUUCAGGUCAUGAUCUCACAGUUUGUGAGUUUGGGCCCUGCAUCGGGCUCUGUGCUGACAGCUCAGAGCCUGGAGCCUGCUUUGGAUUCUGUGUCUCCCUCUCUCUCUGCCCCUCCCCAACUUGUGCUUUGUCUCUCUCUGCCUCUCAAAAAUAAAGAAAAAAAAAAAAGAAAGAAAAAAAAAUUGCCAGCCAAGAAUCUUAUCUUUCAAAAAGGAAGGCUAAAUAAAAACAUUCUCACACAAAACUGAGAGGAUUUGUUGCUAGCAGACCCACUUUAUAAGAAACACUAAAGAAAGUUCUUUAGGCUAAAAGCAAUGACCCCACACAGUAAUUCUAACACCCUCCCCCCAGUCCCCCCACACAAGAGCAUCAGUAUAGAUAAUUACAUGAUAAUAAAAGAUAAUAUAAAUGCAUAUUUCUCCUCCCUUUUACUGAUUUUAAAAGCAGUUGUGUAAACAAUAAGUAUAUAAUGUAUUUUGAGCCUAUAACACAUAGAAAUGUAGUAUAUAUGCUCAUAACAGCAUAAAGAAAGCUUAUGGGAGCAAAGCUGUAUUAAACUAAAAAAAUGACUCCACAUGGUAACUUGAAUUCACAGGAAUAAAUCAAGAGAACCAGAAAUGAUAAAUGUGAGGUUAAUAAAAGCUAUAAGUAUAUACUUGCUCUCUUCUCAGCUUCUUUAAAGGUCCUAAUAAUAUAAGGUAAUAGUUAUAACAUUUAUACUUUGAGUAAUAUUUUAUUAUUGACUUUAUAACAUUUAUAGAUGUAGUGUGUAUAUAACAAUAAUAGCUCAAAAAGGGGGGAAAAGAAAUAGAGCUGUGUAUGGGAAUAAUGUUUUUAUAUCUCAUUGGAGUUAGUAUAAAUCUGAAGCCUAAUCUGAUAAAAUAUGUGUGGAAAGCCCUAGAACAAGCAUGAAGGGAGUAACUUUUUUUAAAAAAUCACUAAAAAGAUUAAAAUACUACAUUAGAAAAUAUGCACUUAAUGCAAAACAGAGCAGUAAAGGAGGAAAAGAGCAACAAAAAUAUAAGACACAUGGCAAACAAAAAGUAAGGUGAUAGACAUAAAUCCAGCUGUAUUGAUGAUAUUAAAUAUAAAUGUAGUAAAUAAUCAAAAGGCAUUGUUAUCAGGCUGGAUUUAAAAAAAUAGGUACAGGAUCUAACCAUAUGCUCUCUUUAGGAGACAUAACUUUAGAUGCAAGAUACAAAUAUAUCAGAACUAAAAGUAUGGCAAAAGGUAUAUCAUGCAAACAGCAACCAUAAGAAAGCCGGAGUGGUUAAUGCUAAUAUCAGAUAAAAUACACUUUAAAAUGAUAAAAAAUAAAGUCAUUGGAGAUAAUGAUACAAGUGUCACUUCAUUAGGAAAGAUACAAUUAUACAUAUAUGCAUCUAACAACAAAGCCCUGAGAAAUGAAGCAAAACCUAACAGAAAUGAAGAAAUAGACAAUAGUUAUGGCUCCCCCAUUUUUAGUAUUGGAUAGAACAAUGAGGCAGAAGAUUAAGAAGAAAUAUAAAGUCUUAGGGGUGCCUGGUAGGCUCAGUUGAUUAAGCGUCCAACUUUGGCUCAGGUCAUGAUCUUGCAGUCUGAAUUCAAGCCCCGUGUUGGGCUCUGUGCUGACAGCUUGGAGCCUGGAGCCUGCUUUGGAUUCUGUGUCUCCCUCCCUCUCUGCCCCUCCCCCACCCUCACUCUGUCUCUCUCUCAAAAAAUAAACAAACAUUAAAAAAAAUUUUUUUAAAGCAACAUAGAGUCUUGAACAGACAACUAUAUGUAAUAGACAUCUAUAGAACACUCUACCCAACAAUAGCAGAAUACGUAUUCUUCUAAAGAGCACAUGGAACAUUUUCCAGGAAAUACCAUAUGCUAGGCUAUAGAACCAACCUAAAUAUAUUUAAAAAGAUAGAAUUAAUACAAGGCAUAGUUUCAAACCACAAUGAAUGAUACUAGAGAUAAACAAUCCUGGGAAACUCACAAAUGUGUAGAACUUAAACAGGAUACUCUUUUUUGUUUUAAGUUUAUUUAUUUUGAGAGAGAAAGGAGGGGAAGGAGGGAGAAGGGGAGGGGCAGAAACAGAGGGGAAGAGAGAGAAUCCCAUGCAGGCUCCAUGCUGUCAGUGCGGAGCCCAAUGUGGGUCUCAAACUCACGAACCGUGAGGUCAUGACCUGAAAUCAUGGGUCAGAUGCUUAACAGAGCUGCCUUAAGCAAGAUACACUUAAAUAACCAAUGGGACAAAAAGAAAAUCAAAAGUGAAGUUAGGAAAUACCAUGAGAUGAAUGAAAAUGAAGACACAACAUACGAAACAUGACUGUAGCUAAUGCAGUGCUUAGAAAGAUGUUUAUAAUUUUAAAUGUAUGCUUAAAAAGAAGAAAGGUGUCCACAACCCAAGCUACUUUAAGACACUGGAAAAGAGUAAAUUAAAACUAAACCAAGAAAAGGAAGGAAAUUAUAAAAAUUAUAGCAGAAAUCAAAGGAAAUAAAGCCAUAGAGAAAGGUAAUAAAACCAAAAGCUGGUUCUUUGAAAAUAUCAACAAAAUUGACAAACACUUUUGCUAGGAGGGUCUUUUUUUCAUUGACCAAGAAGAAAAAAAAAGAAGACUCAAAUUACCAGAAUUAGAGGUAAAAGAUGGAACAUAAUUAUUGUUCUUACAGAAAUAAGGAUUGUAAAGGAAUAACAAGUACAUGCCAAUAAAUUAGAUAAUUUAUAUGACAAGGACAAAUUCCUAAGACACAACUCCCAAAACUGACUCAAGAAAAAUAGAGAAUCUGAAUAGUCUAUGAGAAGUAAAAAGAUUGAAUUAGUAAUCAAAAAACUACCCACAAAGAAAAACCCAGGCCCAGAUGCUUUCACUAGUGAGCUCUACCAAACAUGAAAAAAAAAAAAAAAAAAAAAAAGAAUCAAAUCCAAUUAUUUUACAAAUUCUUGCAAAAAAUAGACUUAGUUGGGGAUAUGUAUACCCUGUACACUUGGUGAAGUGGAAAGGGUGACAGCAUAAAAGAAAAAGCAGUAGUAAGAUACUUAGUUUCUCCUGUGACUGGAGCAUUAAGCAUCCUUGCUUUGAGUAGAACUUCUUUUUAUGUAGUGGCCUCCUGGAUUCAUUAUCUUGUAUCUGGUUUAUAAGACUUCAAUUUAUACAUGUCCUUAAAGAAUAUUGUAUUGGCUGAAUGAGGGAAACCCUCUGAAGGCAGAUCCAUUGAUGAUUGAAUCUGAAAUUAUUUCCAAAUAGCAAGUCUUUUUAAAAACAUUUUUUAAAUGUUUAUUUUUGAAAAAAGAAAUUUUUACAUUAUUUUUGAGAGAGAGAGAGAGAGAGAGAGCACAAGUGGGAGAGGGGCAGAGAGAGAGGGAGACAGAAUUCAAAGCAGGCUCCAGGCUCUGAUCUGUCAGCACAGAGCCUGACGUGGGGCUCGAACCUAUGAACCAUGAGAUCAUGACCUGAGCCAGUCGGUAGCUCGACUGACUCAGCCACCCAGGUGCCCCUAAAUAUUUAUUUUUGAGAGAGAAAGAGACAGAGUGUGAGUGGGGAGAGGAAGAGAGAAAGACACAGAAUCUGAAGCAGGCUCCAGGCUAUGAGCUGUCCGCACAGAGCCCGACGUGGGGCCCAAACUUGUGAAUUGUGAGAUCAUGACCUGAGCCAAAGUCGGACACUUAGCCCACUGAGCCACCCAGGCAUCCCCCAAAUAGUGAGAUUUUGAGUUUACAAGAAAAUAACAAAUACUAGCUGUACUUACUGGUUCUAAUUUUAUAAUACCAGUCUGAUGGCAUUAGUAAAUUUUCUGAUUUCAGGUUUUUAAUAAUCUAGAUUUUAGUGUUAUUAUAAGAAUAAAGUACCUUAAUGUGUUCCUUCCAUCAUUUUGGCUAAGGUUAACGUAGUAUAAGCUAGGGCUGACUUUGCUAAUUUUUUUUUUUCAUUUCCAUUUAUGUUUUCUUCUUUACAUCUUAGUUUAACACUUUUCCAAGGGACCUUACUUACAUUUAUAUAGCAUAUUUGCCAAAGAUCAUUUGUAUAUAUUUCAGUUGAGUCUCACAAAAUUUUGAGGUUAGUAGGUCAGCUAUUCUUUUUUCUUUGUGUGUAUGUAUGCAUAAUGCGUGCAUAUGUUUGGGGUGUGUGCUUAAACAGAGCAAUUGUGGCAUACUUCUUUACAAUUUGGAAUGGCUUUCCAUUAGUGUUUCAAUACAUGGCAGUGCUGGAACUCUUGAUUACAACUUCCCUUACAAGUAAGUACCAAUAAACCUUUUGUUAACUGUUAGAGGAAGCUGGUUGUUCAGAUUGCAGUUGUUGCCAAUGUACAUACAACCAAUGUAUGCAAAGUAAUAAUAGUAAUACUAACAUUUACUGAGUAAGUAUCAUUGUGGUCAAGAGAAUUUUUCCAGCUAAACCUUAAAUUAUUUGAUGAAAUUCUGAAUUUACUGCUAUUUUUUAUCUUAAGCUAGGGCAGUGAUUCUCAAACAAGGGGCAAGUUCCCCCUCCCCCCCCGCCCCCUCCCGCCAGACAACAUUUGAUAAUGUCUGGAACAGUUUUGAUUGCCACAACUUAUGGGUGCCACUGGUUUCUAGUGGGUAGAGGCUAGGGAUGCUGCUAAACAUCUUACAGUGUACAUGGUAGCCUCCCACAAAUUAUCUGGCCCAAAAUGUUAAUAGUGUUGAGGCUGAGAAUUGCUGGGCUAAGGUGAUUUUGCCUUCAUCCUGUGAGCAGUGACUCUUGAAGGCCUGAGGAAAAAUGAUACUUUCUUCUAGUGUUUUUGGUUCAUCUGUAAUAUUUUCAUGCCAAUAUUCCUCAGGAUAUAAGCUGGCUACCAGGACAUGUAGCUCUGGAAAGGUUUAGGUGUAUGCUAUCUCAGGGAAAACCUAGAACAGCCCUUUUUGGAUCACCGUUCUCCAUGCUCAACCCAGUCUACCAAAAUGUCUGUUUCUGCCUUCAGGGUGACGUGAUCCAAGGACCUUAUUGCUGUCUUUUGCCUUUGAUUUUAGUCAAGAUACCCUCAUUCCACCUGAUGGAAUUUUUCCCCCCACUUAGUGGAACUUAAUUAUUGAAUCCAAGUGAGAAAAUAAUUUUAAGUUUUCAAUUUCUUCUCUCUCAGAAGCUUCCAACUGCUUAGGGAAAUUUAUUCAUUCCUAUUUUUAUAAUUUGAUUCUUUGAACAUCAGUAGUUUAUGGAAGGAAGGCAUUAUGAAGUAUUAUAAACAUCUGCCAUAUUGAAACUCUACGUAUGAGACAGGAGAGUGAUGUUAAGUCAUACUAGCUUAGGCAAUGUCACAUGAACUAAGUCGUUUGGUGAAGUUAUGAUUCAGCCUUAGCUAUGUAUGACAUAAAAGCAUACUAUAUUUCUUCUACCAGACAGAUGCAAGUAGAGUUUAACUUAAAUAUAUUAUAGAACCAAUCUUUUCAUUUGGUAAGUUAUUCAGGACUCUUUUUUUCCUCCAUUUUGCUUGCACACGUACUUCAUUGCUGAUGUUUAUCUCAGUAAUUUCUAGCAGGUAAAAUGUUAACCUUUUGAAGAAUGUCAUUACCCUCUGUUAUUACAGUAGUGAUUUGGUGAAAUUUCAAAUGGUACUUUCUCUGAAAGAAUUUACUUCUGGUAACUAACUAAUAUAUACUGUUGGGCAUCAGUAUUUGCUUUGAAAUAAUAGAUUUGUGUUUUAUUUUUAACCAGAGAACUUGUCACGUGAGUUAAAAUCUUUAUUUUAGUUCAUGAGACUAUAUAGUGGUGGUUCUGUAUGUCAGACCCCUAGACCAGCAGCGUCACCAUCAUCUAAGAGCUUGUUAGAAUGCCAAUUUUCAGACCAAUUGAAACCUUCUCUGACCUACAGAAUCAGAAACCAGGGUUAGAGCCAAAGAGUCUGUUUAACAAGUCUUCCACAGAUUCUUUCUUUCUUUUUUUUAAUUUUUUUUUAAAUAUACAUCCAAAUUAGGUAGCAUAUAGUGCAACAAUUAUUUCAGGAGUAGAUUCCUUAAUGCCCCUUACCCAUUUAGCCCAUCACUCCUCCCACACCCCCUUCAGUAACCCUCUCUUCUCCAUAUUUAUAAGUCUCUUCUGUUUUGUCCCCCUCCCUGUUUUUAUAUUAUUUUUGUUUCCCUUCCCUUAUGUCCAUCUAUUUUGUCUCUUAAAGUCCUCUUAUGAGUGAAGUCAUAUGAUUUUUGGCUUUCUCUGACUGACUAAUUUCACUUAGCAUAAUACCCUCCAGUUCCAUCCAUGUAGUUGCAAAUAGCAAGAUUUCAUUCUUUUUGAUUGCUGAGUGAUACUCCAGUGUGUGUGUGUGUGUGUGUGUGUGUGUGUGUGUGUGUGUACGUACACAUUCAUCCAUCGAUGGACAUUUGGGCUCCUUCCAUAUUUGGCUAUUUGAUAGUGCUGCUAUGAACAUUGGGGUGCAUUUGUCCCUUCAAAACAGCACACCUGUAUCCCUUGGAUAAAUACCUAGUAGUGCAAUUGCUGAGUCAUAGGGUAGUUCUGUUUUUAGUUUUUUGAGAAACCUCCAUACUGUUUUCCAGAGUGGCUGCACCAGCUUGCAUUCCCAAGGUCUUCCAGUGAUUCUUAUACGUGGUAAAGUUUGGGAACUUCUCUACAGAGAGUGUGUUGUUGGACUGAGUUCACUUCAUUUUAAUGCAUUGCACUUGUUCUCUUUUUGUUCUUAUUACAUUUUAAACCUGUAUUAUUUGUGUGAAGAUAAGAUAUCCAAAUUAUUGACCAACCUCAAGUAACACAUGUAACAUGUUUAAAGAAAGACUUCUUGGGCAGAUUUGAGAAAUAUUAUUUCAAGCAAUCAGGAUAGUUAUUUGUAUAAAUCACUGUAAAGUGAAGCGCUUAAGAGAUUUCAUUCAAAAUCCUGGAUUGUGGAAAUAUAAUUGUUUGGCACUCGGGCUGCUAAGUUACACAGACUUCUGAGGCAUGAAAUCAAGGAAUAUAUAUUUGAAAAAACCCACACAUGCUCCCAUAGUAACUUUUAAAAUGGAAAUUAAAGUGAUGAUAAUAGAUAUCAAAGAGGGAGUAUGCUGAAAUCUGUACCUGUAAGGGGAAAAAAAAUCUUAAACUAUAAAAAGUCAUGUGUAUGUAAAUACAUACACUGUAGAGGUGUUUUUUAGAAGAGGUUAAAAAAAAAAGAAUUUAUUUGGGUACCUGUAAUAAUAUUGUUAGCCUACCUGGGAAUAUUUUUUUAAAUGUAGUUUUAAUUAGUAUUAAUGCUCUAAUUAAUGUAUUCAUAAUCACCACUGAAAUGAUACUCUGUUAUCUAUAGAAUACAGGAGAUAUAAUAGUGUUGAAUCUACAAAGCUGUGCUUUCUGUAGCUUCCAAAUCUUCGGACUUCUUACUGCAUAAGCAAUGCCUGAAUAUUGAGGUAUUUCAAUUAGUCACCUUAAUUUUCUCUCUAAGUUAUAUUUUUUCAUAUGCAGGUUGAAACUCCAACUACUAAACUCCAAUUAGAGUCUGUCCCCUAGUUCUCUUUCAAAAGAGGUGCUAUGUGUAUUGCGUUUUAUUUCUCUUUGUUGAUGAAUUAAUUUAGAUUGUAAACGUUAGUUUAGACUUUUUUAGUGAGGUCUUAUAUUUGUUAGGUCCUAGGUCUAGAGACUGUUAUCUCUAAAGUUUAUAUUAUAUUUACAGGCAAUGUUUUAACAAACUGGACUGUUCAGUCAUUUUGCUAAUAAUAAGAAUGAUCAAAAUCCCAGACAAUGCCUGUUGUUUUCUCUUUUAGAGAACACUUAUAGUUUCAGGAUUUGGUUGGCAGGAUGGGGUAACCUUGUAUGUUGUUAAUUUGCUGUUUUUGUUUUACUUCCAACUUUAGGGCAUCUAGCCUCCCUAACAGGUUAGAGGCCAAGGAUAUUUGCAUGCAGUGUAAAAAAGUAUGUUAAUAAGUUGAAUGUCUGCUAGUACUUAGUGUCUUUUUUGAUACUAGUUAUGUAUAUAGACAAAGAAGGCAGAGAGCUGUAGAGAUGGGGAGGAUGGGAAGGGGAGGGAGAGAGAAAUAUAAUAAAAAGACUACAGGGUCUGAAUUGAUCUGUAUUUGCUCUGAAAUUAUGCAUAAUAAAUGUAGUUUACUGUUCAGUGUAUUUAUUUAGCUCGGUAAUAAUGUCUAUCUUUUCAGGAUUUGUACAUUAUUAAGUAUCUGAACUUAAAUUAAUUGAUAAUUUUUUAAAAAGGACUUCAUUUACAAAAUAAUAAUUUGUUGUAGUUCAGAAUUAAAAUUCAAAGACUCUUAUUUAACCAUCCAAAUUUAAUACUUUGAAAAAUAAUGGGAUUGUUUUUCAUCCUGAAAUUAACAGUAGCUAAUUGUAGAAAAUGAGGAAAAUUCUGAAAAAUUAUUUAGAAUAAAAUGUAACUCACAUAUGAUUCUGCCACUCAGAAAUAAUCACAUUUAAUGUUUUGGUAUAUUUUCUCCCUUCUUUUAAAAACUAAAUUUUUAUUUAUUUUUUAUUUAUUAUUAUUUUUUAAAUUUUUUAAUGUUUAUUUAUUUUUGAGAGAUCCAGACAAGAGCACAAGCAGGGGAGGCAGAGAGAGAGGGAGACACGGAAUCCAAAGCAAUCUCCAGGCUCUGAGCUGUCAGCACAGAGCCCGAUGCAGGGCUCGAACCCACAGGCCGUGAGAUCAUGACCUGAGCUGAAGUCGGCCGCUUAACUGACUGAGCCACCCAGGCACCCCUAAAAAAUAAAUUUUUAAAAUGGAGAUCAUUCACAUCCUUCUUUAUUAUUUUUUUAAUCUAAUGUAAUUGCAAGAAUUUUUUUAUAUCCUUACUAGUCUUAAAAAAUAAUAACUGAAUAUUUUUAUAUCAAAAUUUAAUUUUUUCUGUAUUGUCAAACAUUUGUUACCAUUUUUUUUACUGCCGUAGAAAUCAUGCAGUGAACUUUUCUGUUCAUAAAUCUUUAUCUUUAUUAUAAGUCUUUAUCUGUAUCUGAUUAUUUCCUUCUAGAUUCCUACAUGGGGACUUACUGAGAGAAUAUAAAUGUUUUCAAGAUUCUUAAUGUGAAUUGCCAAAUUGCUAUCCAAAAACAUUGAUCCAAUUUAACUUCUACCCACAGUGUAUAAGAUAACCUAUUAAGGAAUACCCUUGUCAGCACAAAAUAUUACUGCGUUUAAAAAUCAGUCUGUUUUUUUCAUGAAAAAUCAUGUCUUAUUCUAUCAAGUAUCGUCAAAUACUAAAAUUACUGUUAUUUUAUGUUGUUGUUUAAGAUAGAUUAAUUAGACUUUAGAAAAACCAUACCUGGACUUUUUCAUUUUGAAUGAGAAUGUAAUAUAGUAGAAAAUUGUCAACAAUAGGAAAGUUGAAAAUAAUUAGGUUAUCGUAAUGGUCUGAGGGUCAUUGGGAACCAUUUUAUUAUUACUGAAACAGUGCAACUGAAAGCAAGGGAAAAUGCAUACUGAGAAGAUAUUUUUCUGUCAUUGAAAAAAUAAGUGCUUGCUGUUUUUCAAGUUUUAGCAAUAGCAAUAAUAGCAUAUGGCUUUAAGAACACUGCUUUGAAAUUAGAUUCUUUAGUAUCUUAUUAAGAUUAUGCCUCUUGCUUACUAUGUUUAUAUUGGAUAAAUUAUCUAGUCUCCAGGUCUCAGUUUCUUUAUUAAAUGAAGAUUAAAAAAGAAUUUCUUUUAAGGAUUAUACAAGAUAACACAUGUAAAGUACAAAGCAGUGUGCCUGGCAGUUGGCUAAUGCUAAAUAAAUGUUAUUUUUUAUUUGGCAGGUUUUGGAAGAUUUAUUUAUUCAACAGAUAUUUAUUGAGCACUUACAGUUUGCUUCACCCUUUCUAGACAUUGAGGAUGCAGUCAUGAAACAAACUAACAAAUCCCUAAUGAACCUUGUAUUGUAAUUAGGGGCAAGAAGGGAUGAUAAUAUCUUGUAAAAUAGAGUAACCACAAACAAGAGUUUUAAAAACUUGGAAUAAAUGACUUCGUAUGAAUAAAUGGCCUUAUAACAAAGUCAGGUGAAGAAUGAUUUCUGCCUGUUGAGGGAGGAAUACUUUUGCACUGUUUUUUUUUUUUUUUGCUUUCUGUUUGAUUUUUAUUCAUUUGAAAUAUGAUGUGAUUAGUAUCUGCUUUCCUUUACUUGGCAAACUCAAGUUGUUGGAAAAUAAAGCAUCUAGUUUUUAUGGUAAUGCAUAUUGGAAUUAAUGAUGCUGUAAUUAUUUCUUUGAGAAAGGAAGAAGGAAUUGCUUUGUUGAGAAUUAAACAGCUGAGUACAUGUAUAUUUUGAAAUAUAUUAAUAGAAAGUAUUCGUUUUCUUUGCUUAGCUAAUAGCAAAGUGCUAUAAAAUUGGUCUUGAAAAUGAGAGAGAUGUAAUAUUUAUUUUUAAAAGUAAUAUUUGUCUUUAAAAUGACUUAUGAAAUACUUUUGAAUAUUUAAAUCCAUAAAAUAGAUUGCUGCAAGAGAAUGUACUAGUUAUCUAUGGCUACAUAACAAAUUAUCCCAAAACCUAAUACUUAAAACAACAAACAUAUGUUAUCUUAAAGUUUCUGUGGGUUCUAAAUGUGGGUACAAUUUAGCUGUAUACUCUGGCUAAGAGUGUCACAGUCAAUCUGUUUCAAUCAAGACAUCAGGCAAGGUGUUGGCCUGGGGCUACAUUCAUCUCAGGGUUUGUCUCAGGGAAGAUCUGCUUCUUCCAAACUAACUUCAGUUGUUGUUGGAAAAAUUCAGUUCCUUGUGGGGCAUUGAACUGAGGGCCUUAGUUCUUUGCUGUUUGUUGGCUGGAUGUCUCCCUCAGUUCUUGCUUUUCCAUAGAGCAACUUGUAAUAGGGCACCUGGUUUCCAAUGGAGCAAACAAGUUGGAGAACAGAACAAGGUAAACAAGAUGGAGUCCAGAAUCUGUAUGUAACCUAAUCUCAGAAGUGAUAUUCCCUCUGUUGCAUUCUUGAUCUGAGAAGCAAAGCAGUAGGUUUAGCCUGCAUGUGAGGAAUUACGUAGAGACAUGAGUAACUGUCACAAGUCAGGAAUCACUGGGAGCCUUUUUAGAAGCUGCCUACCCAUAGAAAGCAAAGCAAAGCAAAGUAAAACAUCCAUGGGAAGCAUCUAUGAAAAACUAAGUGAUAAGAUAUUCCCAUGAGCCCUAAAUUCCAGAGGUGGGGGUAGCUCACAGCUAUAAGACCUGAGUAGUCUGUGAGGGAGUAAGCAUAGAGAAAUAAUGGAUCAUCUGACAGACUAGAAAAUAAGAAAACCCUAAAAUACCCUGCAAACCAAAAUAUCCUCUAAGUAUUUACAAGAAAACAUAAUAGACCAAUUUGCAAAAAGUAAGCGGAACUAGAAUAGGUGCAGAUGAUACAUGAUAAGGUUGAAGGAGUUGGAUCCUCUAGGCAUUAUGAACUCUCGAAACUGCAGCGAAAGCUCUCUUCUAGGACAAACCCACACUGAGAGGAAAUUGCUGGAAAAAAGUCCAAACUGUGCAGUGCAGGGACCAUAGAGAUAAAAGAAAAAGAUGCAACUAAAAGCAAGGGAGGGGUCUUAGUAGAUCUCAGAGAGCAUGCUGCUUCUUAAAGACCACACAGAAAUAACAGAGUGAGCUUCGAGUUGAACCAUACCUCCUUCUUAAAAGUUCCAGAAAAGUGGGGCGCCUGGGUGGCUCAGUCGGUUAAGCGGCCGACUUCGGCUCAGGUCAUGAUCUCACGGUCCGUGGGUUCGAGCCCCGCGUCGGGCUCUGUGCUGACAGCUCAGAGCCUGGAGCCUGUUUCGGAUUCUGUGUCUCCCUCUCUCUGACCCUCCCCCGUUCAUGCUCUCUCUCUGUCUCAAAAAUAAAUAAACGUUAAAAAAAAAAUUAAAAAAAAAAAAGUCCCAGAAAAGUAAUUUCACUUAAAAAUGAAUAAAAAAAAUAACAGAAGAAAAACACUGAACAAAGUAUUAUGAGAAAAGAGAAUAAGGAGCAAAAUGACUUCUUCAAGACAAUAAAUGCAAAUCAGGAGGAUGUGCCCACAAAACAGAAGAGUACUAUAAUCUUUUAAAACAAGCUGAAAAAAAUUUUAAAAAUGGUAUAAAGUAUAAAAUGGAAUUAGAAAACUCAGAAAUUAGAUGAUAGAAUUUAGGAAAGAUCAGAAUAAAGGUAUAAAAUUUCAGAAAUGAACCCUAAUCCAGAAUUCAGGAGUAAAUAAACAUCACAGGUAAUGUGUAAAGAGAUACAAGGUGAAAAAGAAAAAACAUUGACAGAAGAUUUAAGAGAAAGCAACAAAUAUCAAAAACAAAGACAAUCCAAUAUAUGGAUAAUCCACAUCCCUGUAGAAACAGAAAUUGAACAAAUAUUAAAAACUAUAAUUCAAAAAACAUUUUUGAAAUUAAAAAAAUUUUUUUGAAACUGCAUAUUAAAAGGAGACACUGUAUACCCCAGAAUAUUGACCCAAAACAAUGACAACUGAUAAAGUUGCUGAUAGAGGGGCGCCUGGGUGGCUCAGUGGUUAAAUGUCCAACGUUGGCUCAGGUCAUGAUCUUGCAGUUUGUGAUUUGAGCCCCACGUUGGGCUCUGUGGUGACAGCUCAGAGCCUGGAGCUUGCUUUGGAGUCUGUGUCUUCCUCUCUCUCUGCCCCUCCCCUGCUCGUGUUCUCUCUUGUUCUCAAAAAUAAACCUUAAAAAAAAAAACAAAAAUGAUAGAAUCAGUGAACUUUAAAGAAAAAACCUGUGGGCACCAGGCACAAACACUGAUUUAUAAAGAAAAUAUGAUUGUCAACAGACUUUUUUUUAUUGGUUAGUAUAACCUUUUUUUUUUUCUAAUUUAUUAUCUUUUAAGUUUUUAUUUAAAUUCCAGUUAACAUACAGUGUAAUACUAGUUUCAGAUGUGCAAUUUAGUGAAUCAGCGCUUCCAUAUAUCACCUGGUGUUCAUCACAAGUACAUCUUUUUUUCAUUAAAGGAAACAUUUGUUUUUAAUGUUUAUUUUGAGAGAGCAUGCUCAAACAGGGGAGGGGCAGAGAGACAGAGAGAGAGAGAAAGGGAGAGACAGAAUCCCAAGCAGGCUCUGCACUGACAGCUGAGAUGUGGCACUCAAACUCACAAACUGUCCAUGAGAUCAUGACCUGAGCCAAAAUUAAGUCAGUCGCUUAACUGACUUAGCCACCCAAACACCCCAACAAGUACACUCCUUAAUCCCCAUCACCUUUUCAACGCACCUCCCCAUUCCCCUCCGCUCUGGUAACCAUCAGUUUGUUCUCUAUAGUUGAGUCUGUUUCUUGGUUUGCCUGUCUCUUUUUUGCCCCCUGUGUUCAUUUGUUUUGUUUCUUAAAUUCCACAUAUAAGUGAAAUCAUAUGGUAUUUGUCUUUCUAAGACUGAUUUUGCUUAACAUAAUACUCUCUAGCUCCAUCCAAGUUGUUGCAAAUGGCAAGAUUUCAUCCUUUUUUAUGCCUAAAUAAUAUUCCAUUGUUUGUAUAUACCACAUCUUUAUCCAUUCAUCAAUCGAUGAUCACUUGGGCUGUUUCUAUAGUUUGGCUAUUGUAGGUAAUGCUGCUAUAAACAUCAAGGUGCAUGUUGUCAUCAGACUUUUUAACAGUAAUGCUUUAUUGUAAAAGAAAUAGAGUAACACAUUUAAGAUACUCAAGGAAAGAAAAUGUGAGUCAAGAGGGGUAAUAUGUGGAUUUAUUUUAAGCAAAAUGACUUUGAAAUGUGAAAGCUGUGAAAAAUCUUAAUUGAUAUGUAGAAAACUCAGGGAUUGUUGUUCCCAUCCUCUAUUCCUGACGAAUUUGACUAGAGAAUAAGUCUCAUGCAAAAUCACUAGCAAGAUAAGGACAUGAGGAUUGGUGGCUAACUCUAGGUCUUUUUUCCUCUCUUAAAGAUUCCUAAUGAACAGACACCUUCAUUAGCUUCAUUAGCUCAAGUUAUUUCAGGUAUUAUGCUAUAAAUGUUCAUAUUGGUUACAUUCUUUAGGACAGCAGCCUUGAAUAGGAAAGUAAUAGGUCUUUUUGUUUAGAGUGGUUUUUUUUGUAUAAUGGUUUAACCAUAGUUCCUUUUGAGAAAUGAGACACCACUUUGCUAUAUAGAGCAGUGUUUUUCAAUCCUGGCACCUUUACUAAUUUUGGCUGGAUAAUUCUUUGUGGGGCUGUUCUGUGCAUUGUAAAAUGUACAGCACCAUCGCUGGCCUCUACCUACUAGAUGUCAGUAACACCCCAUCUCUGUUAAGACAACCAAAAAUAUCUCUACAUUGCCAGUGUAUCUUAGAGGGCAAAGUGGGCCCUAGUGGAGAGCUACUGCUAUAAAGAAGUGUUGAAUAUUCCUACAGAGAACUUACUAGUAUAUGACUGCACUUGAUAAACAUGAAAAAUCACCUUCAAGUUGUAAUAGAAGGAAGAGCUAAUAAAAGAAAUUAAUCUGCCAGGAUAAUGGCAUUAUAUGUUGGAUUUUAUAUUUCAUAAACUUUACAUUUUAAAUGAGAUAUAUAUUUAUACACUUACAAUCUAUAAGUAAUUAUGCACUUACUGGAUUAAUUCUGAAAUUAAGUUAGGUAUAAAAUGCUAGUUUCAGAGAAGACUAAGUAUCAGUGUAGUAUGUAACAAAAAUGUGAUUGAUAGAAUUUCAAAUUUAAACAUACAUUUUUGUCCCAUACAUUCAUGUUUUUUAAUGCUUAAAUUUAAAUUUACCAAUUUAUUUUCAGUAUUUUACAUUUUAAGUUUCUAUAUAUUCUCAAUAUAUUAAAACUUAGAAAUGUCUUCGUGAUUAUAAUUUGUACUGUGGAAGGACUUGUUGGUAUAUAGGAAGGGUACUUUUUUAGGCAAAUAUACUUGUAAGUAUAUGAGAAAGGCACUCACUUAUAAAUUCCUACUUAUCUGAGGGUAUAUAGAAAAGCUAUACUCCUUGGCAUGACACUGAAAUAAAGGGAUGCAAAAUUUAGGGGUCAGGAUGUCUAGCCCCUAAAUGUCUGCAUGGCAUUUCCUGGAGCUUUUAAACUUGAGUGUGCAGAUUCUGCCACUUCUAGGUGAGAAUGUUUUCUUUGAGGUAGCUUUGAUUUCAUGAUGAACACACAGGAAAUAAGAAAAUUUAUAUAGUUGAAAUUUGCUGUGCCUUGAAUUUUCUCUGGAAUUUUUAAGUUAAGGAUAACUCUCCGGUCUUAAAUUUUAUCAAAAUUGAAUAUUUUGACCAAUAAAACUAAACCUUUAAAAUAUAAAAUAUUCAUUAAAACUUGAAAAAGUUCACAUUUUCAGCAAUCAGUAUUUGCUGGCCUUCCAUUUAAGUACCAAGUAUUGCAAGAUUAAUGGAUAUAUUUUCAGACAAGGUAAGAUACCUCCACAUCAGCUGUUACAAGCUUGUUUUUCUUAUAAGUGCUUUAUACUUCAGAUUGGUUUGAAGGACCUUAUCAUAAUUCUGGUUUUCAGGAUUUAAAAAUGGAGGUGAUCUCUGCUGAUUUAAUAUGAUUCAUCUCCUUCUGGCCUUGUAUUUCCCAGCGUAGCAUUCCACAAAUUGCCCUAUAAGAUAUGCAUGGGUUUGAGGGUGGGGAUCUCCAGAAGGAUCUGUGAAUCUGAGAAAAGCUGCAUAUUAUAUCCUACUUAGAGAUUCACUAUGCAUAUUAACAUAUUAAGUGCUUUUAGCUAAAGAAAAUGGCUUAACCCGGUAUCUCUGAAAGUUAAUUUACCAUGGAAUCCUUGUGGGUAGAGUAUCUGUUAUGAUCUUGAGGAACAAAUAUUUUGUGGACCAGUUUUGGAAGCACUACUUUAAUAGAAGAUGAAACCCUGCUUUCUCAAACUAUUAAAUGACCAGUGGAGGGGAGGUGUAAAAAGUAUUAACAUAAAAAAAGUUGUAGAGAACUAAAGGAAAAAAUUGAGGAUGAAGGGAGGAUGCUCAUAAGUUUUAAAAAUGGGAGAGAGUAGGUUUAAAAUGGUGACUAACUGUAAAGUGAAAUUAUGAAAUUAAAGGAGUUUGGUAUAUGCUACAUUAAUUCUUUUGUAAAGAACGUACGUAGCUUCUUAUGUGAUAUAGAAGGAAGUCAGCAGCAUUAGAAAUUAUAUUGAUACACGUUUAAGUACUGAAUUGGUAAGGUUAUUGAUACUAACCUUUUUUGCUGUUUUGCAAGAGAAUAGAUGUUAUCCAUUCUAUACAUUUAUAUUAUUUUUGUAUAUAUUUGUGCUUAAUGGUUUUCUUUGUGAUUGUAAUAUUUUUGAUUCAUUCCAAAGCAAACCACAUAGGAAGGAAAGUUAUUUAAACUCUUAGCAUUCUUUGGACAGCUAGUUUACACACAAACAUUACUUAAUCCCCAUAGUCAGUAUUAUCGGUAAUUUCAUCCCCUUUUUAGGUGGGGCAGCUGUGGCUUACAAAGGUUGUGACUUGCCUAAUACCAUACCAUACAGCUAGUUAUUUAAGAAGCUGGUUCUUGAAGCCUAGAGCUUUCCAUUAUGGUAGAUUACCUAAUUAAGAGUGAACAGCUGAAAUUUGUAAUGGACAUAAGAAAGGAAAAUGUUCUAACCAGAGAAUUUCCUAUAAGUCUUUCAGACUUUUAAGCCUGCCUUCUUGUUUUCUUUAUUUCUUCUCCCAGAAUGGAGGUAAUGGAAAAUGAUAUGAAGGCAGUAAACUAUAGAAAUAAGAGCAGUAGACUGCUUUAAGGUUGAACAAGUUUAAGCCCUGAUUCUAUCACUUAACUAGUUUUGACCUCAGGGAAAUUAUUUAACUUUUGUCCUCAGUUUUCUAACUUAUUAAAUGGUUUUAGUAAUAACUACUGCAUAGUAAGUAUUUCAUAAUUGGCAACUAGUGUCGUUAUCAUUAAUUGUGCAAAGUGAGAGGAUUCAGUUACGUAUGCCUCUUCCCCUGGCAUGAGGGAAGAUGAUCAUACCUGCUAAUUUAUGUGAUAGCAAACAGCAGUGAUCUAUGAUUCAAAAGGCUUGAGUGCAAGGGCCUUGGGCUAGUGGGAAAAACCCUACUUAGGCAGAUUACUAAUAGUUGGGGCUUAUAUUAUCAUUAAAGUAGAAAUAUCAUCUUAAUAUGAAGAUCCAUUGAGAUAAUAGAUAUUAUAUAAUGGAUAUGUAUAAUACAGAGAGGGGCAUGAAAAGAAAAGCUAUUUCAAAAAAUGUUGAAUGCCUAAUAUCACUUAUAAAUACUAUAUAAUAUACUAUAACAUCUACUUUUUUUAUUUCUAGUUCAUCACCAAUGAAAAAUAAAGGUAAUAUACAAGUUCAUUUGAUCCUUUGGUUACUUAAAGUAAGAAGAAUCUAGCCUAGGGAUGCUUGGGUGGCUCAGUCAGUUGAGUGUCUCUGACUCCUGAUUUCCACUCAGGUCAUGAUCCCAGGGUCAUGGGUUUGAGCUCCACACUGAACUCAUGGAGCCUGCUUGAGAUUUCUCUCUCUCCCUCCCUGCCCCUCUUUCAUGCUUGUUCACUCUCUCUCUCUAAAAAAAAAAAUAAAAAUAAAAAGGAAGAAGAACUCAGCCUGAAGUAAAGAAUCCUUCAGAAAGCUGUAUAGAAUGGAAAGGGUGUGGAUUAAUCUGUGUAAGUGUGGUGACCAUACUCUUUAAACCAAAUCUUGGAAUACAUUUUCUGAUACAGAAUGACAGCAUGAUUUAAUGUUGGAAAUCAAUGCCCUAGAAAAUAUAGAAGAUAUAAUCACUGUUAAGUAUAAGUGAUAUUAGCAAAGACAGUAGUACUUCUCAGAUCUUUUGUUCUAUGGGACAUGUACAGGCUUGGAGAGAAUAGUUGUGUUAAGGGAAAGACUUAUGAAAGGGAGAAAAGGAGAUGGAUGUAGAGCGGUUAGCAGUCUUUCCAAAAUAAGAUAGUAAUGUUUUUAACUUGUAUCGUGCUUAAGAGUUGAAUACAUGAUUUUUUAAAAUAUAUUGUCUCAUUUAAUUCUUAUAGCACUCUGAAAUACUCAGAGUACUCCUAGCACUGUUUCUUAUUGAGCAGUUUAAACUGUUACUUUUUUAAAACGUACACAGUUUAUGAACUUAAAAUUGUAGAAAAGAGUCAAUAUUGUAUACAUUCUAUUCACGAUCCACAUAGUAUUCACAUUAAUGUGAUUAUAAUAUCAAUGCUAUAAUACUUCUGCCAAUCAUUAGUUCUAAGAUUUUUCAAGGUGCCUGAAGUUCAUUUUUUUUCUCUUUAAACUGGACAAUUUUUAAAUGAAGAGACAUAAUAUAAAGCUAGGCUUUUAGUAUGUAUUAUCUUGAUUAGGAUAUGAAGGUAAUUAUUAUUUCCCUUUUACCUAUGUAAAAGUACCUUUGUUACUAUGUAACCAAAGUCACAUCACUUUAGGGGACUAAAAAGCUAGAAUUUGAAACACGAUGUAACGAUUUCAAAGUUUUUUAUUCUUGUUUCUCUACCCUGCCUACUUACUAGAAUUUAUUUCUGGUCACCUCCCUUUUCUGAUCUGAGCAAGCAUUUAUAGUGUACACUCAAUAUUUAAACUUGAAAUUUUAGAAAGUGUGGCUUGGUUCUAUAUAUAUAUAUAUAUAUAUUUUUGCCCUAAGUGAUUGAUUGAUAGUUGAGUGUAGUUCACACAGUUUUACAUUAGUUUCACUUGUACACUUAGUGAUUUGACAAGUGUAUGCAUUGUGUUAUGUUUGCCACAAGUAUUGGCUACUGUCUGUCCCGUUACAUUCCUGUUAUAAUAUCAUUGACUGUAUUCCCUAUGCUCUACUUUCUAUUCCUGUAACUUAAUCAUUCCUUAACUGGAGGCCUGUAUCUCCCUCUCCUCUUCACUCAUUUUGCCUAACCUGCCAUCCCACUCCACUCUGGCAACUAUCAGUUUGUUCUCUGUAUGUAUAGUUCUGAUUCUUUUUGUUUAUUCGUUUUUUGUAAGAUUCCACUUUUGAGUGGAAUCAAAUGGUAUUUGUCUUUGUCAGUGUGACUUAUUUCACUUAAUAUAAUACCCUCUAGGUCCAUUCAUGCUGUCUCAAAAGGCAUAAUCGCAUCCUUUUUAUGGCCGAAUAAUAUUCCAUGCCACAUCUUUAUUCAUCUAUUGAUGGACACUUGGGUAACUCCCAUGUCUUGGCUAUUAUAAUGUUGUAGUGAACAUAGGGGUACGUGUCUUUUUGAAUUAGUGUUUUCAUUUUCCCUGGGUAAAUACCCAAUAGUGAAAUUAUUGGAUCAUAUGAUAUUUCUCUGUUUUUGAGGCACCUCUGGACUGUUUUCCAUAGCAGCUGCAUUAACAUUUCUGGGCAUUUUGUUACAUUUCUACCAACAGUACACAAGAGUUCCCUUUUCUCUUCAUCCUUGCUAACACUUGCUGUUUCUAACAGGUGUAAGGCGCCCCCUCAUUGUGCUUUUAAUUUGCAUUGCUCUGAUGUAGUGAUGUUGAGCACUUUUUUCAUGGUCUGUUAGCCAUCUGUAUGUCUUCUGUGGAAAAAUUUCUAGUCAGGUCCUCGGCCCAAUUUUUAAGCAGACUGUUUAUUUUUUUGGUGUUGAAUUGUGUAAGUUCUUCAUAUAUUUUGGAUAUUAACCCCUUAUCGGUUAUAUCAUUUGCAAACAUUUUCUUCCAUUCAGUAGGUUGUCUUUUGUUUUCUUGAUGGUUUCCUUUGCUGUGCAAAAAUAUUUUAUUUUGAUGUAGUUCCAAUAGUUUAUUUUUGCUUUUGCCUUAGGACACAUACCUAGAAAAACAUUGCUGUUGUCAAUGUCAGAGAAAUUACUGCCUGUGUUCUCCUCUAGGACUUUUAUGUUUUCAGUUCCCAUGUUUAAUCCAUUUUGAGUUUGUUUUUAUGUACGGUGUUAAAAAGUAGUCCAGCUUCAUUCUUUUACAUGUAGCUGUCCAGUUUUCCCAGUACCAGUUUUGAAAAGACUGUCUUUUCCCCAUUGUAUAUUCUUGCCUCCUUUGCCAUAGAUUCAUUGACCAUAUAAAUGUGGGUUUAUUUCUGGGGUUUGUAUUCUGUUCCAUUGAUCUAUGUGUCUGUUUUUGUGCCAGUACCAUACUGUUUUGAUUACUACAGAUUUGUAGUGUAUCUUGAAAUCUGGAAUUAUAAUAUAUCCAACUUUGUUCUUCUUCUUUCUUAGGAUUGCUUUGGCUAUUCAUGGUCUUUUGUGGUUCCAUACAAAUUUUAGUAUUAUUUGUUAUAGUUUUGUGAAAAAUGCUGUUGGUAUUUUUAUAGGGAUUGCAUUGACUCUGUAGAUUGUUUUGGGUAACGUGAACAUUUUGACAAUAGUAAUUCUUCCAAUCCAUGAGCAUGCAGUAUUUUUCCAUUUGUGUCAUCUUCAGUUUCUUUCAUCAAUAUUUUAUAGUUUUCAGAGUGCAGGUCUUUCAUCUCUUUGGUUAAAUUUAUUCCUAGGUAUUUUAUUCUUUUUGUUGUAAUUGAGAAUGCUGUUUUUUUGUUGUUUUUAUUUCUCUUUCUAUGACUUUGUUGUUAGUUUAUAGAAACACUACCGAUAUGGGGUAUUAAUUUUGUAUCCUGCCAUUUUAUUGAAUUCAUUUAUCAGUUCUAGUAGUUUUUUGGUGGAAUCCUUAGGGUUUUCUAUGUAUAGUACCAUGUCAUCUGCAAAUAUUGACAGUUUUAACUUUUCUUUACCAAUAUGGAUGCCUCUUAUUUCUUAUCUGAUUGCUGUGGCUAGGACUUCAGUACUAUGUUGAAUAAAAAUGGCAAGAGUGGAAGAUCAAGUGUCUUAUUCUUGAUCUUAGAGGAAAAGCUCUCAAUUUUUCACGAUUAAGGAUGAUGUUAGCUGUGGGUUUUUCAUAUGUGGCCUUUAUUAUGUUGAGGUAUGUUCUCUAAACACCAUUUUUGAUAGUUUUUAUCAUGAAUGAAUAUUGAGUCUUGUCAAAUGCUUUUUCUGCAUCUAUUGAGAUGAUUGUAAGAUUUUUAUCCUUUGUUUUGUUGAUGUGGUAUAUGACAUUGAAUUGCGAAUAUUGAACUAGUUAUGUCCUGGGAAUAAGUCCCACUUUAUUGUGGCGAUUGAUCUUUUUAAUGUUCUAUAACGUUAUUAGAUACUAUUGAGAACAUUAACAUAUUAUCAGCCACUACUUAUUAUAUGCAUAACACCUUGUGCUUACAUGAAUACACAGUCUCCUUUAUAACAAUACUGUUAGGUAGGUAUUAUCUGUUUUACAUAUAAAGGAUGAGACAAGUUAAAUUGUAUAGGUCAUUUCAUAUAUCUAAUACUGGCAGCAUUGUGAUUGUGAUCUAGAUUUGAUUCCAUAACCAAUACUUACAUUGUAUUCUUAUGGACCCCAUAUGUCUGUAUUUUAAUAGAGAAAUUUGUGAAAUCUUUGAAAAGAUGAGCUAUAUAAAAAUUUCUAAAUUUUUCUCUCCACAUUGUCUUCCUGGGUAAUAUCUUAUAAGUAGUCUUCCAAAUAAUUGUGAAUGAUUGCUUCUACACAUAAACACACACACACACACACACACACACACACACACACACACACGCCACGGAAACAAGCUAGUUUGAUUAGGAAAUGAACUAUAGUUGAUUAAGAAAAAAGUUUGUAGUCCUCAGGAGUUAGAACAAUAGUUAGAACGUUCCCUAUAAAUCUUUUCAUGUGAAAUUUUUCUCUUCUUAAGAGCUAUAAAAUAGAGCACCAAGUCCAUUUAUACUAGAUUUUAAUGGUUGGGUUUGUUCAGCUUUAUAAGCUAAUAAAGCUAUUUUAUAAUCAUCCAUUUGGGGUUAAAUAUGUUUGACUGUGUUUAAACUUUUCUUAAAGCUAACAUUUGCUUGCUUGACUAUUAAUGCAUAGGAAUGUGAACAGUGUAUCAUUCUGGUUCCUUUUGGAAGAAAAGUCUCAGAGACAUUUUAUAUUCCGUAGAAAAUCAACAGUAGUUUCCUUAAGAGUUCCCUGAUAUUUGUAAAAAAGAGGAAAAAAUAACUUUCUGGUUUUUGUGUGAAACCUGUAUUUAUUGUUUAGAAUGGUAUCAUUCAUUAAUAGCACUCAUGAGGAUUAAGCACUAACUACAGCUAAAUCUGUAGUGGAUAUCUUAAUGCCUAGAAUUUUCUUUCCAGUAAUGCCUGGAAAGAAGAAGAUUGUGUUGAUUCAUACCACGCAUAGUAUCUUAAUGAAAUUGCCCUGUCACAAUUCAGCUAUUGGACAGAUACCAAAAUUCAUGCUUUUAUGUAUUUCUUGUCUCCUCUUUUUAAAAGAGGUCUUUAGGUUA